GUAAGGCAUAGUUUUGCCUACCUGUAAUCUCUUCUACCAGGGCAGACUGAGACUGACAGAUGUCUUGAGCUCAGGAGUUCUGAACUGCUAUGAGCUAAGCCAGUCACGUGUCCCCACUAAGCUAGGCAUUAAUAUGGUGAGCUCCUGGGAGUUGUGUGGCCACUAGAUUGCCUAAGGAAGGCAAACAAAUCUAGGUUGGAAACAGAGCAAGUCAAAGCUCCUUUGCUGAUCAGAGUGGGACCAGGUCUAUGAGUAGCCCCUACACUUUCUUCCUGGGUGAGACAGGGAUACCCAAUCA
rnacentral:SRP_RNA from 1 species